GGGGCAGUAGCUCAGCUGGGAGAGCGCCGCGUUCGCAAUGCGGAGGCCAGGGGUUCGAUCCCCCUCUGCUCCACCA
rnacentral:tRNA from 1 species